rnacentral:lncRNA from 1 species
GUCCUGGCGCAGUGGCUCACGCCUGUAAUCCCAGCACUUUGGGAGGCCGAGGUGGGCGGAUCACGAGGUCAGGAAGUCGAGACCAUCCUGGCUAACACGGUGAAACCCUCUCUCUACUAAAAAAAAAAGUACAAAAAAUUAGCCGGGCGCGGUGGUGGGCGCCUGUAGUCCCAACUACUCGGGAGGCUGAGGCAGGGGAAUGGCGUUAACCCGGGAGGCGGAGCUUGCAAUGAGCCGAGAUUGUGCCACUGCACUCCAGCCUGGGCGACAGAGCGAGACUCCAUCUCAGAAAGAAACAAACAAACAAACAA